rnacentral:rRNA from 1 species
UACGAAGGGGGCUAGCGUUGUUCGGAAUCACUGGGCGUAAAGGGCGCGUAGGCGGCGCGACAAGUCAGGCGUGAAAGCCCCGGGCUCAACCCGGGAAUUGCGCUUGAUACUGUCGUGCUUGAGGCCGGGAGAGGAUGGCGGAAUUCCCAGUGUAGAGGUGAAAUUCGUAGAUAUUGGGAAGAAACACCGGUGGCGAAGGCGGCAUCCUGGACCAACACUGACACUGAGGAGCGAAAGCCAGGGGAGCAAACGGG